rnacentral:lncRNA from 1 species
GUGGGUGGAAGCUCAUCGUGGAGGUCACAUGCAGAGUGCUAGUCACUUAACCAAUCACCUUCCUCUUUAAAGCUAGUUCUAUCAACACAGUAAAUGCAGUAUAUCUUUCUCCUUUGUUUUUUUUUUAGCUGGUAUUAUCGUGGCCAUGGUGUUUGAAAGUCUCUUGCCAC